CGCACGGGUGAGUAACACGUAUCCAACCUGCCGUCUACUCUUGGACAGCCUUCUGAAAGGAAGAUUAAUACAAGAUGGCAUCAUGAGUCCGCAUGUUCACAUGAUUAAAGGUAUUCCGGUAGACGAUGGGGAUGCGUUCCAUUAGAUAGUAGGCGGGGUAACGGCCCACCUAGUCUUCGAUGGAUAGGGGUUCUGAGAGAAGGUCCCCCACAUUGGAACUGAGACACGGUCCAA
rnacentral:rRNA from 1 species